GACGAACGCUGGCGGCGUGCUUAACACAUGCAAGUCGAACGGAAAGGCCCUGCUUUUGUGGGGUGCUCGAGUGGCGAACGGGUGAGUAACACGUGAGUAACCUGCCCUUGACUUUGGGAUAACUUCAGGAAACUGGGGCUAAUACCGGAUAGGAGCUCCUGCUGCAUGGUGGGGGUUGGAAAGUUUCGGCGGUUGGGGAUGGACUCGCGGCUUAUCAGCUUGUUGGUGGGGUAGUGGCUUACCAAGGCUUUGACGGGUAGCCGGCCUGAGAGGGUGACCGGCCACCUUGGGUCUGAGGUACGGCCCAGACUCCUACGGGAGGCAGCAGUGGGGAAUCUUGCACAAUGGGCGGAGGCCGGAUGCAGCAACGCCGCGUGCGGGAUGACGGCCUUCGGGUUGUAAACCGCUUUCGCCUGUGACGAAGCGUGAGUGACGGUAAUGGGUAAAGAAGCACCGGCUAACUACGUG
rnacentral:rRNA from 1 species